GGGUACACUAAGUGAAUUUUCAGAAACACAUGAGGAAAGCUCACAGGCACAACGAGGUUGAGAGCUCUCCACUUGCUCAGCUGGUGGCCUAGCAUCCAGAUCAGCUAAAGGAUGACAUUUUUGGAGUGCUACAUCUGCAGAUCACAUCCAACAUACAUAAUGCCAUUUGGCCACCAAGUGGUUGUGGAUUUUUUAUUUAUUAGGUGUGCAAUGGGAAUAAUGAAUCCUGUGGAGACAGCCAGCUCAGACUUCAUCCUGAAGGAAUCAUGCACCCAGACAUGUUUGGUUAGCCCUCAAAUUUGCAGCUCCCUAAAAGGACAGAAGAUUAUGUUGUGGCAGUGCCAGCACCAGUGAAAAACAAACCAAGAAGAGAAUAAAACAGUCAAAAACUUUAUCA
rnacentral:lncRNA from 1 species